rnacentral:rRNA from 1 species
GAUGAACGCUAGCGGCAGGCCUAAUACAUGCAAGUCGAGGGGCAGCGCAGUGUAGCAAUACAUGGUCGGCGACCGGCAAACGGGUGCGGAACACGUACAGAACCUUCCUUCGAGCGGGGAAUAGCCCAGAGAAAUUUGGAUUCAUACACCAAAGUAUUACUGGAUGGCAUCAUUUAGUAAUUAAAGAUUUAUCACUUGAAUAGGGCUGUGCGUAUGAUUAGGUAGUUGGCGGGGUAACGGCCCACACAGCCUACGAUCAUGAAGUGGGGUGAGAGCACGACCAGUCACACGGGCACUGGGACACGGGCCCGACUCCUACGGGAGGCAGCAGUAAGGAAUAUUGGUCAAUGGACGAAAGUCUGAACCAGCCAUGUCGCGUGGAGGAUGAAGGUCCUCUGGAUUGUAAACUUCUUUUAUCUGGGACGAAAAAAGGCCUUUCUAGGUCGACUGACGGUACCAGAUGAAUAAGCACCGGCUAACUCCGUGCCAGCAGCCGCCGUAACAC